GACGAACGCUGGCGGCGUGGAUUAGGCAUGCAAGUCGAACGGUAUCAUCCUUUCGGGGGUGAGAGAGUGGCGAACUGGUGAGUAACACGUAGGUUAUCUACCCUCAAGACGGGGACAACCCAGGGAAACUUGGGCUAAUACCGGAUGUGAGCAACUUUUAGUUGUUUGAAAGGUGGCGUAAGCUGUCGCUUGGGGAUGAGCCUGCGUCCUAUUAGUUAGUUGGUGAGGUAACGGCUCACCUAGGCAAUGAUAGGUAGGCGGCCUUAACGGGUGGUCGCCCACACUGGGAUUGAGGUACGGCCCAGACUCCUACGGGAGGCAGCAGUCGAGAAUAGUCUACAAUGGUCGGAAGACUGAUAGUGCGACGCCGCGUGAACGAUGAAUCCCUUCGGGGUGUAAAGUUCUUUUAUAUGUGAGCAGUGCUUCUUAUAUUAACAGUAUGGGGAGAGAGAUAUUAGCAUAUGAAUAAGCAACGGCUAACUCCGUGCCAGCAGCCGCGGUAAGCUCG
rnacentral:rRNA from 1 species